rnacentral:tRNA from 1 species
GCAUUAAUGGGGUAGUGGUAACCUGGGUCGUUGCCAUUCCGCUAAGCUCGACCCGCCGGGGGUUCGAUUCCCUCUUAAUGCA